rnacentral:rRNA from 1 species
UACGGGGGGGGCAAGCGUUGUUCGGAAUUACUGGGCGUAAAGGGCCAGUAGGCGGCCAACUAAGUCGGAUGUGAAAUCCCCAGGCUUAACCUGGGAACUGCAUCCGAUACUGGAUGGCUUGAAUUCGGGAGAGGGAUGCAGAAUUCCAGGUGUAGCGGUGAAAUGCGUAGAUAUCUGGAGGAAUACCGGUGGCGAAGGCGGCAUCCUGGACCGACAUUGACGCUGAGCGGCGAAAGCUAGGGGAGCAAACGGG